rnacentral:tRNA from 2 species
UGAGGCGUAGAUCAACUGGCAGAUCACCUGACUCUGAAUCAGGCGGUUCCAGGUUCGAAUCCUGGCGCCUCAACCA